GGUUCCAUGGCGUAGCGGUUAGCACAUCUGCCUUACACGCAGAAGAUCCUGGGUUCGAUUCCCAGUGGAACCA
rnacentral:tRNA from 2 species